rnacentral:rRNA from 1 species
AAUUUUAUUUAAGGUCUGACCUGCCCUAUGAGAAAUUAAAUGGCCGCGGUAUUUUAACCGUGCAAAGGUAGCAUAGUCACUUGUYUYUUAAUUGGAGGCUUGAAUGAAGGGUUGGACGAGAUAUAAACUUUCUUUAUUAUAAUYAGUUGAAUUUGACUUUUGAGUCAAAAGGCUUAAAUAUAYUUAUAGGACGAGAAGACCCUAUAGAAUUUUAUAUUUUUAUUUUAAUAAUUUAUUUGUUUAUGAUUAAAUUUUUUUUAUAAAAAUAUUUUGUUGGGGCGAUGGGAAGAUUUUUUUAACUCU